rnacentral:lncRNA from 1 species
GUUAUUGGACUUCAAGGGCUAGUAGAAAAGAGGGGUUACAUGCAUGAGAAUUAAGCUUGAAAGUCUAGUAUGUUGCAAAUUGAUUGAUUCCUCCCUCCCUAGCCAAAUUGUUUUAAUUUCCAGAAAUUGAUCAAAAUCUUUACGAGCUGUAACUCCUUACAUUCACUCGAGUAGCCGUUGUUACUUCCUUUAUCUUCUCAAUCAACCGUUGCAAAAUAGCCAUUGCUAUGAUUACAAUUUUAUUUUAUUUUAUAUUUUGUAGUCCAAAAGGCUUAUUCUGAAAAGCCACUUUUUCUCAACAAAUUAUGUUUGUACAAGUCCAAUUUUGGGCCCAAAACCCCAAAACACACUAAGCCAAUAACCUCAAAACCUACUAAACUCAAAACUCAACAGCAGCCCAAUUCAAAACCUAAAACGAAAAGAACAACAAACCCUAGCUGUUGCCUCCCUGUCCCAUCACCACUUGCCUGGCCACCGUCUUUGCUGCAGCACCGCCCCAUUAAGUCCAUCGCCACAAGCACCUGCAAUGCAUUAAACAAGAAUAGAUAGAAAGCAAGAAAGAGGGCAGUGUAAACAAAUAUAUAAGCAAGAAUAAACAAUGUAAAAGGGCUUUUUUUUUUGCUUCCUGAUUUUCAUUUUAUUCUCAUAAUGCAAAAGCAAUAUUAACAUAAAAAACAUACUCAAACACAAAAACUCAAAAUCGAAGCAAAACAGAUCGAGGGCCAAAUCUAAGGUUAUCGAUUUUUCUUUUUAUUUUUUUUAUUUUGUUUUCGAAUUUAUUUGUAUAUAUAGUAUCCCUUCUAUUAAAACAAUACACACAUAUAUUAAACGAAUAAAUAUAAUAAAAAAGGGGAAAAAUCUUUACCUCGGGGCGAUUUUCGGCCAUCGUGUACGUUAGCUGGCAUGGCGGACGACACAGCGGCGGACGGCUGGCUCCUCGCCGGUUUCUGGGCAAACCCAGAGAAAAAAGAAAGAAGAUGAAGUUUUUUUCUUAAAACAGAAUAGAGA